AUUGAACGCUGGCGGCAUGCCUUACACAUGCAAGUCGAACGGCAGCACGGGAGCAAUCCUGGUGGCGAGUGGCGAACGGGUGAGUAAUAUAUCGGAACGUGCCCAGUCGUGGGGGAUAACGUAGCGAAAGCUACGCUAAUACCGCAUACGAUCUACGGAUGAAAGCGGGGGAUCGCAGGACCUCGCGCGAUUGGAGCGGCCGAUAUCAGAUUAGGUAGUUGGUGAGGUAAAGGCUCACCAAGCCGACGAUCUGUAGCUGGUCUGAGAGGACGACCAGCCACACUGGGACUGAGACACGGCCCAGACUCCUACGGGAGGCAGCAGUGGGGAAUUUUGGACAAUGGGCGCAAGCCUGAUCCAGCAAUGCCGCGUGCAGGAUGAAGGCCUU
rnacentral:rRNA from 1 species